rnacentral:rRNA from 1 species
GAUGAACGCUGGCGGCGUGCCUAAUACAUGCAAGUCGAGCGAACAGACGAGGAGCUUGCUCCUCUGACGUUAGCGGCGGACGGGUGAGUAACACGUGGAUAACCUACCUAUAAGACUGGGAUAACUUCGGGAAACCGGAGCUAAUACCGGAUAAUAUAUUGAACCGCAUGGUUCAAUAGUGAAAGACGGUUUUGCUGUCACUUAUAGAUGGAUCCGCGCCGCAUUAGCUAGUUGGUAAGGUAACGGCUUACCAAGGCGACGAUGCGUAGCCGACCUGAGAGGGUGAUCGGCCACACUGGAACUGAGACACGGUCCAGACUCCUACGGGAGGCAGCAGUAGGGAAUCUUCCGCAAUGGGCGAAAGCCUGACGGAGCAAAGCCGCGUGAGUGAUGAAGGUCUUCGGAUCGUAAAACUCUGUUAUUAGGGAAGAACAAAUGUGUAAGUAACUAUGCACGUCUUGACGGUACCUAAUCAGAAAGCCACGGCUAACUACG